rnacentral:rRNA from 1 species
UGCAACUCGCCUGCAUGAAGUCGGAAUUGCUAGUAAUCGUAGGUCAGCAUACUACGGUGAAUACGUUCCCGGGCCUUGUACACACCGCCCGUCAAACCAUGAGAGUUGGCAACACCCGAAGUCGGUAGUCUAACCGCAAGGAGGACGCCGCCGAAGGUGGGGUUGAUGAUUAGGGUUAAGUCGUAACAAGGUAAC